GCCUAGCCGUAAACUUUAAUUUACACCCACAUCGCCAGGGAACUACGAGCAAAGCUUAAAACCCAAAGGACUUGACGGUACCCCAAAUCCACCUAGAGGAGCCUGUCCUAUAAUCGAUAACCCCCGUUUAACCUCACCAUUUUUAGCCAAUCAGCCUGUAUACCUCCGUCGUCAGCUUACCACGUGAGCGCACACUAGUGAGCUUAAUGCCCCCACGCCAAUACGUCAGGUCAAGGUGCAGCAAAUGAAAUGGGAAGAGAUGGGCUACACUCUCUAACCUAGAGAAUACGGAAAGCUACAUAUGAAAACUAGCCAGAAGGCGGAUUUAGAAGUAAAAAGAAACAAUAGCGUCCUUUUUAACUCGGCACUGGGGUGUGU
rnacentral:rRNA from 1 species